rnacentral:tRNA from 1 species
AGGGAUUUAGCUUAGUGGCGUAAGCACCUGCCUGGCAUGGAGGUUGUGAUUUCAAUCCCUG